rnacentral:misc_RNA from 1 species
GAAAUGCGAUAAGUAAUGUGAAUUGCAGAAUUCAGUGAAUCAUCGAAUCUUUGAACGCACAUUGCGCCCGCCAGUAUUCUGGCGGGCAUGCCUGUUCGAGCGUCAUUUCAACCAUCAAGCCCCCGGCUUGUGUUGGGGACCUGCGGCUGCCCGCAGGCCCUGAAAGACAGUGGCGGGCUCGCUGUCACACCGAGCGUAGUAGCAUACAUUCUCGCUCAGGGCGUGCUGCGGGUUCCGGCCGUUAAACGACCUUCAUAACCCAAGGUUGACCUCGGAUCAGGUAGGAAGACCCGCUGAACUUAAGC